UUUUUGUAUGUGUGUGCGACAGACACUGAGCGUGCUCGAAGAUACGUUUUUUUUUUGUCAUCCAGGUGGCUUGGAGAAGGCGGAAUUUAUCUAGAUUUAGAUGUAUAGAUUCAGGAAAUCUUAUCCACAUACAAAGAGUUGACUGAGGUAAAGAUUACAGUCUGUGUCUAUCUAACAACAAGAAGCAUGUAAUUGUCUGUGCUACAACCUUAGCCCCUGACAGUCUGAUAGAGUUCCUGAAUGAGUUUUAUGGUAAUUCUAACUUAGAGAGAUGUAAUUCUGCUGUGUUCCUGUAAGUUGGAAACCAGAAAGCAAGUCAUCUACUAGUGGUGUAAUAGAGUCAUAUACAUCAAGGGAUGAGUACUAAAAGAUGUGGACCUGAUGUGGUGUCAUGAAGCUUUUGCUUUCAUCUUUUGGCUGUUCGUUUAACACAAGACAAAGCACAGACUUCUUUGGACAUUUGUUUCUACAUGAGUGUGACAAGGGAACAGCACUCUAACUUAUCAAGAAAACUUUUGGCAAAUUCAGUUUUGAAAACCAAUCCAGUCGUCAAUGGUUAUCCACAGUACCAGGAGCCAUUCAAUCUUGCCCAGCAGACAGGCUCCCAUGAAGUACUUAGUGAUGGUCAAACAAAGUUUAUUAGACAAAUGGUUCUAGAGAAUCCAGUAGCUUGGUGGGAUUCUGAUCUGCAUAACAAAUCAAUUAGUGUUGUUGGUUCUUAUACUUGGUCUGAUAUUCUGAAAUAAAUUUCCGUAUCUCCACCUUAAAUUUUACUAGUGGAGUUUUUGUAGCUGCCAGAGUGGAUCUAGGUGGAUGUGAUGCCUUUAAAGAUCAAGGCAUUAUUUAUAUAUACUUCAAAGUGGCAUGUAUGAACUUAAGGAAUGAUUUUGGUUCUCUGCAACUGCACUUGACAACUCAGGUCUCCAAAAACUUAAAUGUCCAACAAAUCACAGCUAAUACUGUACAAUUGGCAACACAUAACACUGACUGUACAAUGUUCUGUCAUGGACAUCUGAACUGCUGUAUCAAAUCUGUACUGUUGUAGCAAGACCUCUGCUGGCUUCGCUGUACUUUGUUGAACUCUGUCAUAAUGUACUGAAUGGUAGAUCGAGAAUUUGUGACUGAGUCAACUCUGGUACCUUUGUUCUUCAUAUAGGGUCUCUAAUGGCAUUCUAGAACCGGAUUCCGUUAAUCACAUGACUCUUGAGUGAGUCACAUCUCUUGUGACUGGCCUGAGUUCGAUUCAGAACACUGAUCCUGCCCAAACCGCAAUGUUUGACACUCUUCUCAGGUGACCGUCACAACUCAUCCUGGUUGACCGCUCGUCUAGCGCUGGCCUGGGGCAUUUUCCAUCGGCUGAAAACACACACACCACUACCCCCAUCUUUGUCACCACCA